GGAGCUGGAUAGGUGGCCGCUUCGGGCCCUGUGCCCGGAGAGGAAAGUCCGAACUCCACAGGGCAGUGCGCUGGGUAACGCCCAGUCUCGGUGACGAGAAGGAAAGUGCCACAGAAAACAAACCGCCGGGCAGGGCUCCGCCUUGGUCGGUAAGGGUGAAAAGGUGCGGUAAGAGCGCACCGCGUUCCGGGUGACCGGAACGGCACGGUAAACCCCGCACGGAGCAAGACCAAAUAGGGGAGUCGUUUGGGGUCGCCCGCCCUGUUGCUCCUGGGUAGGUCGCUAGACCUUGCGGGUAACCGUAAGGCAAGAGGAAUGGCCACCGCCCCUUCGGGGGUCACAAAAUUCGGCUUACUUCCCGCUCCGGUC
rnacentral:RNase_P_RNA from 1 species